AGUAGAUGGAUACAGGAGAACCAAUACACGUCAAAUAGGUCGAGUACGGUAAACGGGACCGCUGAUGAGACGCAUUCCCUACAGAGGCAUGGGAGAUGGGACGCGGGACAAUGUUCGCCGCCAUGUUGAAAGUUGAAAGAAGCCGAGCUUUAGUUUGGUACACAAAGGUGCUCAAAAACCUCCAACCAGCUCCAACACAUUGUUUACAUGUAAUGCUGCUUAAUUUUUAUUACAAAUAUUUAUAAUAUUUUUUAAAUAUCUGGUAUUUGACAGUUUGAAUUUAAGUCGACUACAUGCACGUCCACGUUGUAUCGCCGGUAUCGCCAUCGCCAUCGUAACAAAACAUACAAAAAAACUGAGGUACUUUCGAGAGUUGGCCGAACUAAAGUGAACUUUAGCCGUACGCCGUACUUUCGAGCUUUCGAAAACCCCACUGCCGAAGAACGUUUUUGAAAAGAGUCACCCGUGUACCGGCGUGCCGUGCCCAUCGAACCAACCGUGAAGUUAAUCGGCAGCGUGUAUCAAAAAAGGAACGUGUGGUGGCUCUUCGUCGCACACGUGCUCCGUGCGUUGAAUGAACCUCGAGCUUUCGGCAAGGAAGUCCUGCAGAGGCAAAGGUCCCACCAGAGGCAGCGAGGGCCGAGCGAGGCAUUUGGUGUGAUGCCGCUGGUUAAAAUAUGGAGCGCAGACCUCUCGGUGCGAAAAGUAGGAAAUGUGAGAACGAUGAGCGACGUUCUAACACUUGCUAAAGAAAAAGACGUAUG